rnacentral:tRNA from 1 species
GCCCGCCUAGCUCAAUCGGCUAGAGCGUCAGACUUUUACGGCACUAUCUGCGAUGGUAAUCUGAAGGCUGCGAGUUCGACCCUCGCGGUGGGCU